UGCCUUCAUUUUCUAGAAGUGCGGGGA
rnacentral:piRNA from 1 species